GCCUAGCCGUAAACUCUUACUUACACCUAAAUCGCCAGGGAACUACGAGCUAAGCUUAAAACCCAAAGGACUUGACGGUACCCCAUAUCCCCCUAGAGGAGCCUGUCCUAUAAUCGAUAAUCCACGUUUAACCUCACCAUUUCUAGUUAAUCAGCCUGUAUACCUCCGUCGUCAGCUUACCACGUGAGCGCUUCCCAGUGAGCUUAAUGUUUUUCACCAAUACGUCAGGUCAAGGUGCAGCAAAUGUUAUGGAAAGAGAUGGGCUACACUUUCUAUGUUAGAAAAAACGAAAGACUACCUAUGAAAUUCUAGUCGGAAGGCGGAUUUAGCAGUAAAAAGGAAUCAGAAUGUCCAUUUUAACUCGGCACUGGGGUGUGU
rnacentral:rRNA from 1 species